rnacentral:pre_miRNA from 13 species
UAUUCUGGGAUGGAUGGGGCCUGUGCUGGUUUUUGCCGCGGUGAUACUUCAACGUGAUGAUUAUCACCGGGUGAAAAUACGGCACAGGUCCAAUCCUGCCUU